GACGAACGCUGGCGGCGUGCCUAAUACAUGCAAGUAGGACGCAGUUGCGAACGGGUGAGUAACGCGUAGGUAACUGCCUAUUAGAGGGGGAUAACUAUUGGAAACGAUAGCUAAUACCGCAUACUAGUAGAUGGACCUGCGUUGUAUUAGCUAGUAGGUAGGGUAAUGGCCUACCUAGGCGACGAUACAUAACCGGCCUGAGGAGGUGAUCCGCCACAAUGGGACUGGGACACAGCCCAGACUCCUACGGGAGGCAGCAGUAGGGAAUCUUCGGACAUGGGGGGAACCCUGACCGAGCAAAGCCGCGGGAGUGAAGAAGGUUUUCGGAUCGUAAAGCUCUGUUGUUAAGGAAGCGGUACUUAACCAGAAAGGGACGGCUAACUACGUGCCAGCAGCCGCGGUAAUAC
rnacentral:rRNA from 1 species